CUAUCGAGAAGGCUGCCAUAAUGCUUGAGAAAUGAAACAGGCAGAAUAAAAAGGUAUUUUUCACUUUUUUUUAUUUUGACUAAAAAAAACAGGUGUUUGAGCCUCAAAAAGAGAUAAAAAAACACAACAUUCCAAUAGCAAAAAUUUUGCGAAAACCAGAGCACCUAAAAACGAUCAGGGAAAUGAUAGGAAUUCUGCCGGAGUUGGAUCCAAUUCAUUGCUGUUUGCAGUGCAGCAUAAGAUGCGUGAAGUUGCAAAAACAUGACUGGAUGCACAGCAGCGCAGACUCGUCUGAAUAAGGAAGACUUGGAAAACAUGUUAAAUAAUCAGGUAUUUAUUGCACAAAAUUAAAUUAAGGUGCAGUCCACCACUUGUGUGUGUAUGUUGCAUAAAAGUUGCGCAUAAAUUACCUUAAUAAAUUUUUGGCAUUUUGUAAAUUGGAAAACCAAUUAAAUAACUUCUAUACUUCUUCAAUAAAACAAAAAAAAAGUAAACUGCCUUUGACAAAAUCGUCGUUCGUGGAAAUUUCUGUGGAAGUCUGGAAAACUUAACAAGCUCCUUACAUGACUUAUCGCCGCUAUAUAUGAACGGCGAUGUGCCGUUACUUUUGAUUUCGCUUCGUGCAGUGCAUUCUUAGCUAUAAAGCAAUUGUUUUUUAACGACGCAUAUAUGGAUAAUAGUAGCUCCCAAAAUGUAUGAAUUUGUAGGUGCCAAGUGGCCAUCUUUAACCCUUAUGGGAUUCACAAAUAAAAAUUUGGGAAAUUUUACUUUUGAAUAAAAGUCAAAAUUUGGUGAAGUUGCUGUUAAUUAUUAUAUUCAUUUAAAAUAAAGUUUGAAUUUUAAUGCUUAUAUGCUGAAUAAAUAUUUUUCGGAUAUUUUCAUACUGUCGCCAAUUAUUGAGCCAGACAUUUAAUGUUGUAACUUGUUUCAAUAAAUUCCAAUAAUUUUAAAAAUGA